UGCUUGCUGGGGAAGACUUUUGAAG
rnacentral:piRNA from 2 species